rnacentral:rRNA from 1 species
AGCUCCAAUAGCGUAUAUUAAUGUUGUUGCAGUUAAAAAGCUCGUAGUUGGAUUUCUGGUGGGCGCGACCGGUCCGCCCCGCGAGGGGUGAGCACUGGCGUCGUCGUCCGCCAUCCUUAGGGAGAGCGCGUCUGGCAUUCAGUUGUCGGGCGUGGGAUCCCUAUCGUUUACUGUGAGAAAAUUAGAGUGUUCAAAGCAGGCUUACGCCUUGAAUACAUUAGCAUGGAAUAAUAGUCGAGGCUCUUGGUCUGA